rnacentral:rRNA from 1 species
UACGGGGGGGGCUAGCGUUGCUCGGAAUCACUGGGCGUAAAGCGCACGUAGGCGGACUCUUAAGUCAGGGGUGAAAUCCUGGAGCUCAACUCCAGAACUGCCUUUGAUACUGGGAGUCUUGAGUUCGGGAGAGGUGAGUGGAACUGCGAGUGUAGAGGUGAAAUUCGUAGAUAUUCGCAAGAACACCAGUGGCGAAGGCGGCUCACUGGCCCGAUACUGACGCUGAGGUGCGAAAGCGUGGGGAGCAAACAGG